GGUAAAGGCUUACCAAGGCGACGAUCUGUAGCGGGUCUGAGAGGAUGAUCCGCCACACUGGAACUGAGACACGGUCCAGACUCCUACGGGAGGCAGCAGUGGGGAAUUUUGGACAAUGGGGGCAACCCUGAUCCAGCCAUGCCGCGUGAGUGAAGAAGGCCUUCGGGUUGUAAAGCUCUUUCGGCCGGGAAGAAAUCGCAUGGGCCAAUACCCUGUGUGGAUGACGGUACCGGAAUAAGAAGCACCGGCUAACUACGUGCCAGCAGCCGCGGUAAUACGUAGGGUGCGAGCGUUAAUCGGAAUUACUGGGCGUAAAGCGUGCGCAGGCGGUUUUGUAAGACAGGCGUGAAAUCCCCGGGCUUAACCUGGGAACUGCGUUUGUGACUGCAAGGCUAGAGUACGGCAGAGGGGGGUGGAAUUCCACGUGUAGCAGUGAAAUGCGUAGAGAUGUGGAGGAACACCAAUGGCGAAGGCAGCCCCCUGGGUCGAUACUGACGCUCAUGCACGAAAGCGUGGGUAGCAAACAGGAUUAGAUACCCUGGUAGUCCACGCCCUAAACUAUGUCAACUAGGUGUUGGGUGGGUAAAACCAUUUAGCAUCGUAGCUAACGCGUGAAGUUGACCGCCUGGGGAGUACGGCCGCAAGGUUAAAACUCAAAGGAAUUGACGGGGACCCGCACAAGCGGUGGAUGAUGUGGAUUAAUUCGAUGCAACGCGAAAAACCUUACCUACCCUUGACAUGCCAGGAACUUGCCAGAGAUGGCUUGGUGCCCGAAAGGGAGCCUGGACACAGGUGCUGCAUGGCUGUCGUCAGCUCGUGUCGUGAGAUGUUGGGUUAAGUCCCGCAACGAGCGCAACCCUUGUCGUUAAUUGCCAUCAUUUAGUUGGGCACUUUAACGAGACUGCCGGUGACAAACCGGAGGAAGGUGGGGAUGACGUCAAGUCCUCAUGGCCCUUAUGGGUAGGGCUUCACACGUCAUACAAUGGUCGGUACAAAGGGUUGCCAAGCCGCGAGGCGGAGCCAAUCCCAGAAAGCCGAUCGUAGUCCGGAUUGCAGGCUGCAACUCGCCUGCAUGAAGUCGGAAUCGCUAGUAAUCGUGGAUCAGCAUGUCACGGUGAAUACGUUCCCGGGUCUUGUACACACCGCCCGUCACACCAUGGGAGCGGGUUCCGCCAGAAGUAGGUAGCCUAACCGCAAGGGGGGCGCUUACCACGGCGGGGUUCGUGACUGGGGUGAAGUCGUAACAAGGUA
rnacentral:rRNA from 1 species